AUACGGAGGAUGCGAGCGUUAUCCGGAUUUAUUGGGUUUAAGGGUGCGUAGGCUGUGCGUUAAGUCAGGGGUGAAAUGCCGUCGCUCAACGACGGAGCUGCCCUUGAUACUGGCGUGCUGGAGUACGGAUGCCGUUGGAGGAAUGAGUGGUGUAGCGGUGAAAUGCUUAGAUAUCACUCAGAACACCGAUUGCGAAGGCAUCUGACGAAUCCGUCACUGACGCUGAGGCACGAAAGCGUGGGGAUAGAACAGGAUUAGAUACCCUGGUAUUCCACGCCGUAAACGAUGAUGACUAACCGUCGGCGAUAGACAGCCGGUGGCCAAGCGAAAGCGAUAAGUCAUCCACCUGGGGAGUACGUCGGCAACGAUGAAACUCAAAUGAAUUGACGGGG
rnacentral:rRNA from 1 species